rnacentral:lncRNA from 1 species
GACAACAAAUUAACAAACUUUUAAGCAAUGAGAUAAAAGAGGAGUCAUGGGUCUAGGAAUUUGAUUUCAAAUGACUAAGAUCCAAUCUAAAAUGACAAGAUAUCAAUCAACAUAUUUCUUUAAGUCUAGACAACACUCCUAAACAAGUUCUUUGUCAAGAUAAAUGUUCAUUUACUUUCAUUGAUCAAACAUCAAAUGCAUUUGAUUUGUGUCAAUCAAGCAAUCAUUAAGAACAAGUCAUUUAACUAUCUAAACUUCCCUAACAUCAAAUCCCUUUGGUAGGGUAAGCAAAGAGCAAGUUGAGUUGAC